rnacentral:snoRNA from 1 species
UUGCUGUGAUGACUCUUAGGACACCUUUGGAGCACCCAUGAAAAAAAAAACAAACCAAAACCAAAGUUGGUUCUGAGCAAC